AUGUAUUUUGUGUGUAGGAAAUUAUUACAUGAAUUGGGAUAUAUCUCAUAAUUAAUGAUAUAUGAAUGCCUUAAAACUAAAUGAAAUUAUUAGAAAUGAAUAUAAUUAUGAAAGCAUGUAAUAAUUUAGUGAAUAAGAAAGUCACUCAAAGGUGUACCAAUAUAUGAUAGGUGGAUAUCUGAGGGUAUAAGAUGAAGUUAGUGGAUCGCACGGAGUUGACCGCAUAAUCCGGAGUGUUGGAGUAAAAGUCGCGUAUGUGUAUAUAUAUAUAUAAUAAUAAAGGACGUAGAGGGUGGAAAGAACCGCCGGAAAGUGUGCUGAAAUAAACGGAAGUUCGUCUUUAUUUAUAAAGCACCACCAGACGCCAGCUCAGGUAUAGUAGGUGCUUACAGCUUGUAAUUGUAAAGCAGAAGAAACUCAAGACAGGGCCUAAACAAAUGUUAUUCAGAGACCACAAGCACUCCUAUAAUGUCUCCAGCAAACACUCUCACGCCAAAGGACAUGAAUAACCAACAGGGUAGAAGAACUGAACAAUAUGUUUGAUUUGGUGUAAAU